AUGAGACUUUGGAUCGCAAUUGUUUUCACUGUAGCAGCUUUGGAAGGUGUCCGGUGCCAGCUGCUAGUGGAGUCCGGAGGGGAUGUGAAAAAGCCCGGAGACUCUCUCCGCCUCUCCUGCAAAGCCUCCGGCUUCACCUUCAGCAGCUACUAUAUGAACUGGGUCCGACAGGCUCCUGGCCAGGGUCUGGAGUGGGUGGCUCGGAUUAGACCCGAUGCAUCCAAGCAGUGGUAUUCCCCAGCUGUUGAAGGCCGAUUCACCAUCUCCAGGGACAAUCCGAACAACCUGCUGUAUCUGCAAAUGACCGGCCUGAAGCCCGAGGACACCGCCCGGUAUUACUGUGCGAGAGACACACAAUGA